AGCGAACGCUGGCGGCAGGCUUAACACAUGCAAGUCGAGCGGGCAUCCUUGUGGUGUCAGCGGCAGACGGGUGAGUAACGCGUGGGAACGUGCCCUUCGGUUCGGAAUAACUCAGGGAAACUUGAGCUAAUACCGGAUACGUGCGAGAGCAGAAAGGUUUAUCUGCCGAAGGAUCGGCCCGCGUCUGAUUUGCCAGUUGGUGAGGUUAUGGCUCACCAAGGCGACGAUCAGUAGCUGGUCUGAGAGGAUGACCAGCCACACUGGGACUGAGACACGGCCCAGACUACUACGGGAGGCAGCAGUGGGGAAUAUUGGACAAUGGGGGCAACCCUGAUCCAGCCAUGCCGCGUGAGUGAUGACGGCCUUAGGGUUGUAAAGCUCUUUUAUCCGGGACGAUAAUGACGGUACCGGAGGAAUAAGCCCCGGCUAACUUCGUG
rnacentral:rRNA from 1 species